UACGGGGGGGGCAAGCGUUGUUCGGAAUUACUGGGCGUAAAGGGCUCGUAGGUGGCCAACUAAGUCAGACGUGAAAUCCCUCAGCUUAACUGGGGAACUGCGUCUGAUACUGGAUGGCUUGAGUUUGGGAGAGGGAUGCGGAAUUCCAGGUGUAGCGGUGAAAUGCGUAGAGAUCCGGAAGAACACCGGUGGCGAAGGCGGUCUGCUGGGCAGUUGCUGACACUGAGGCGCGACAGCGUGGGGAGCAAACAGG
rnacentral:rRNA from 1 species